rnacentral:rRNA from 1 species
GACGAACGCUGGCGGCGUGCCUAACACAUGCAAGUCGAGCGGAGCGGCGAACGGGUGAGUAACGAGUGAGUAACUGCCCUCCUCUCUGGGAUUACAGUUGGAAACGGCUGCUUAUACCGGAUAGUGGGGGAUGCCUCGCGUCCGAUCAGCUUGUUGGUGGGGUAGUGGCCUACCAAGGCGACGACGGGUAGCCGGCCUGAGAGGGAGACCGGCCACAUUAGGCUGAGAGACGGCCCAGAGAGCUACGGGAGGCAGCAGGUGGGAAUAGUGCACAAUGGGGAAAACCCUGAUGCAGCAACGCGCGUGCGGAAGGACGGCGUUCGGGUUGUAAACCGCUUUCGGCCAUGACGCGGUAGUGGCAGAAGAAGCACCGGCUAACUACGUGCCAGCAGCCGCGGUAAUAC